AGCGAACGCUGGCGGCAUGCUUAACACAUGCAAGUCGCACGAGGGGGCAACCCCUAGUGGCGGACGGGUGAGUAACGCGUAGGUAUCUAUCCACGGGUGGGGGAUAACAGCGGGAAACUGCUGCUAAUACCGCAUGACACCUGAGGGUCAAAGGCGCGAGUCGCCUGUGGAGGAGCCUUCGUCCGAUUAGCUAGUUGGUGGGGUAAAGGCCUACCAAGGCGACGAUCGGUAGCUGGUCUGAGAGGAUGAUCAGCCACAUUGGGACUGAGA
rnacentral:rRNA from 1 species